GGCUGGCUCAGUUGGUGGAGCACGAGACUCUUGAUCUUGGGGUUGUGAGUUCGAGCCCCAUGUUGGCCA
rnacentral:tRNA from 1 species